UCCCGCUUAGCUCAGUUGGUUAGAGCAUCGGACUGUUAAUCCGGGGGUCCCCAGUUCAAGUCUGGGAGCGGGAGCCA
rnacentral:tRNA from 1 species